AAGACUGCAGUGUGUGGUAUUCUUACAUCUCUCCUCUUAGUUUCAAGCACAACUGCCGUGUGAGAUGCAUCGCCGGGUAUAAAGAAACACGUGUGUCAUGGUUCCCAAUGAAUUUUAGGUCAAGGUUAGACAGUCAUUUGCCAGAACCCCCAAGCGUCACUUGAUUCACAUGCCCACCGGUACUACAUCUGUGGAGCAACGUAUCUUUCCCUAUUAUCGGCUGACAGGCACCUGUGGAGGGUAAAGUUUUGAACAUAGAAAAUUGCCCUAACCCUCUCAGUGGCACUGUGUGGGGUGUGCCACUUGGCAGCGGGCCCGUGAGCCUCUUUGGCUAGCGUGUGUCGGAGUUUGUGUGGGCGCAGUGUCGCUGGCGUUGUGGUGUUAUGUAGCCGCGCUGCCUCCUGCAGGAGUUAACCCAUCCUGGUGCAGAGCUUACCGAGCCUCGUCCUCUCCGAGUGCCAUCGACAACUUACGACUUACGAGACCAUCGCAACGAACCCUCGAAUUGCUUCUCUCCAGAAGCGACCGUCAACUUUCCUGAUCCGGAGCGCAUUUUCCUAGGACCUUCACCACCCCUCCCUCCCCGUCCACGUAGUUCCACUGUCGUGAAGUUGCUAUGAAGUGGUGCCAAAGGCUCUAGUGCGUUGUUUGAUUAAAGAUUUAGCAAGGUUACCCUGUGCGUGUUUGGCAAGAAUUAGUAAAGAAACUCUCUAGUUAUGAUAAAGUUUUCAUGCAAGUGAAUGAAGUAUCAGAAGUGUUAGCUCACGAAAGUUAGUGAUAGUAUCUGUGAUAACCAUAUUUACAAAUGUGCCGGAGUUGGUGUUGUGUGUGAACACACUUAGUCACGCUAGAAACAUACGCCUUUUGAAAUAUAACUUGCGAAUACAAUAUAUAAUUACUGAAGAGGCUUUGGAUGAGUCAAGAUAUGGAAGGCAAGAGAGCUGACAAACACACACGCAAGGAGAAGAGCUUUGUACAGGAAGGUGGGCGGACCAUGUCUCCAGCUCAUAUGUAUGGCGGCUUCUGGGAGCAUCAAUCCCCAACCAGGAUGAGGCACUACUCGGUAAUCUCCGCUGACCUUGCUUGACCGUGUGUCGUCCUACUUGACCUUGUUUGUCCUUGUGUUGACCCACCUGGCAUUGUUUACCUGCCUUCACCCACUGACCUUAAUUGGGUCGAAUCAUCAUGUUUUCUUUGCAUUAGAGUGCUUCUACUCACCCGACACUGGCGAGAGAUACUUAUCUUUGUACUCUCAUAAUCACCAAGCUAACCUUCUAUGAUCCCGUGGGACCCGUAAUGUAUCUUUCUCGACACAAUGUCUUCUUGUAUGCCAGCCACCAUUGUGUUCCUGAAAACCUAACAGACUAAAAUGUAUACCACUAAC